UGAUGGUACUUCAUAGACAACAAAGUUGGUUUUAUUUACUUCAUAGUCUUGAAGAGUAGCUGGUUUCUUUUUAUUUAGGUUUCUCCCCGCCACAUUUGAGUACAAUCGCUUCGGUAACUUUUGUUGUAGAAUGCAAGUGUUUUAUUAUUUUUCUUAAAUUUGAUUAGUUUGUAGUCGAGUCUUUAAAUAUAUACACCAAAUUACUUCAGUAUUUAGAAUGUGUUUGGUGCUGCAGCUAAAAAAAAUAUUAUUUUAAUAUAUUUUUAAAUAAAAAGUAUUUUAAAAUAACGGCUACCGCAAUGUCAAAUAUGCUAGUUACUACUAGAAAAGCUGGUGGUAUUGGAAAGGGCUUGCUAGUGCCAAAGAGAUUUAGUGGCAUCCUGGGAUCAUGUUCUUGGUGGCAGUUGGGUGGUUCAACUCAUGCUUAUUAGUCAUGAUUGAUCACCGGCUUUUAUUAUGCCUUCGCGGGGCUAGGUUUGGGGCUAUGGCUCAACUUGGACAAGAAAGAUGACGAGCAUUCUAGUAAACUGUAUUUUGUUGCCCAAGUUCUUGGUUUUCAAUAAGGGGUCCAAUUCUAGUAACCCUGCAUCUAUGCCUGAAAUCAACCUAGGAUGACAAUUGAUUUUUAGAAAUUCAAAAGCCUUUAGCUGUCUUUGCGAUCUUCACUGAGAUGCUUACAAAAUUCUACACUUUCUUUGAUAUUGCAGAAAACUGAUUUAAAUUUCAUAUUAAUUUCAUCAAGUCAAUCCUGAAAAGUCCUACCUCUGCAAUUCUUGACUAUACCAUUAUCAAUUUGCCAUAUCUCAAACUCAAAAUACACAUCUAUCAUGGCAGUGUUCAGCAGUACCAGGAAGAUGCUGUGCAGAUUAAAAUCUCAAUGUUUCUUCAUUUUCCUAUGACCAAAUUUUAUGCCUGUAGCUUCCUCAAAUAUAGCCAUACAUUUCUAUACCAAUUAGUGUUUUUUUUUUUUGUUUUGGUAUGAGUGUUUGGUUUUUUGGAAGUUUAUACAAGGACUUCAUUUUAUUGUUGUCCUACAUAGUUUGAGGAUUUCUAAAUCCUUGCCUAAAUCUUGAUUUACUUUAGUGAUAGUAUUUAAGGUCUAACACAUUACUUGGUGCAAAAAUAAAACGAAUAGGGUGCUCAAAUGGGAUCUUGUACUCUGGUUCUUCAGCAGUGUCUUCUGUAUUUCAAUUGCAUUUACUUGAAAUUUCCUUGUGAAGAUAACCUUUGUAUGUUACAGUUACAUCUGUUAAUCAUUGUCAAGUAAGCUGAAAGAACUAAUUCAUGCAUUUUACAAGAAAUGCAGGUCGAGAAAAGAUUAGAGAAGCUUAAGAAAGGGAAGGCAAAGGAUUCACAAUCUAAACUCAAGACGCUGAAAAGUCUGCCAUGGAAAGGAUUCGGCAUGCACUCAUGGAUGGAAAACCAGCACGAUCUGUUACAUUAACAGAUUUUGAAAAGGAUGCAGUGAAUCAUCUUUGCUUGCUUACUAUGAAACCGGUCAUAUAUGUGGAAAAUGUUGCAGAAUCUGACCUAGCUGAUUCUGCAAUUAAUCCUAAUGUCAAAGAAGUGAUGAAUCUUGCAUCUGAAUUACAAUCCGGACUAGUGACAAUUUCUGCACAGGUGUGGUGAUUCCUUUUAGAAAAUUUAACCUCAAUACAUGUGUUGUGCUGUCUUUUUCAGAUCAAUAUACCUGUUGUGACCUUUAUACUGUCGAUUUUCAGAUGUUGCAUGAAGCAGGUAAUCUGAGGAUGCCUAUUAUUGCAGGUUGAAUCAGAGCUUACAGAACUGCCAUUUGAAGAACGAAGUGAAUUUUUGAAUUCACUCGGCGUUAGUGAAAGUUGCCUCGGGAACCUCAUCAGAGCAACAUAUAGCCUUUUGGGGUUGCGUACAUACUUUACUUCUGGAGAGAAGGAAACAAAAGCUUGGACCAUACUUUCAGGAAUGACUGCACCUCAAGCUGCUGGAGUUAUACAUUCCGACUUUGAGAAGGGUUUUAUUCGAGCUGAGACAUUGAGAACAGUUCAAGAAGGAGAUGUAAUGCUGUUUCGUUUCAACGUUUGACAGUCAUCAUACUAAACAUAAACACAUCUUGUUUCUUUUCCAACACAAUCAAGCUGGGGAACAAUUUGAAUACAGCUCAAGUGAAAGAACGGUUUUAGAGUUCAUUUAGAAAUCAUCUUGAACUGGGGGCAUAUGCUCUUUCAUUUUUUACCUGCUCAUCCAUUCAAAACACAGAAUUUUGCUCGAGUAAUCCAAGCGCUCUGUGAUGAGUAGAAUAGCUCAUAAUAUACAUAGGAUCGGUUGUUAAUUAUUUUUACCCCAUUCAUCGGGACAUCAUUAGUUUAUAGAUAAGUUGAGAGCAGAGCAUGUAUCAAGUAAGCUGAUUUGGAUUACUAUCUCCCCAAGUGUUCUUUGAAUAUUGUACAAGAACAAGGUCUAGAUAAGGUGCUAUCAAGGUUUGACAGCAACUUGAGUAACCUCAGGUGCUGGACAGAAGUCAGAAGAUGCAUUUUCUUGCUGAUUUUGGGUUCUGAAUUUGCUCUCACGUUUGCCUCUUAGAGGGAAAAAAAUGAAUUAACUGGACGUGGUUAUAUUUUAUCCCCAUAGGUCUCCAUAUUCAAAUAUAUGCUUCUUGGCAUGUUGACAAGCUCAUUCUGCAUCAUCAGGGGCUGAGAUUGGUCAAAA